GAUGAACGCUGGCGGCGUGCCUAAUACAUGCAAGUCGAGCGAACAGAUGAGGAGCUUGCUCCUCUGACGUUAGCGGCGGACGGGUGAGUAACACGUGGAUAACCUACCUAUAAGACUGGGAUAACUUCGGGAAACCGGAGCUAAUACCGGAUAAUAUAUUGAACCGCAUGGUUCAAUAGUGAAAGACGGUUUUGCUGUCACUUAUAGAUGGAUCCGCGCCGCAUUAGCUAGUUGGUAAGGUAACGGCUUACCAAGGCAACGAUGCGUAGCCGACCUGAGAGGGGGAUCGGCCACACUGGAACGGAGAAACGGUCCAGACUCCUACGGAAGGCAGCGGUAGGGAAUCUUCCGCAAUGGGCGAAAGCCUGACGGAGCAACGCCGCGUGAGUGAUGAAGGUCUUCGGAUCGUAAAACUCUGUUAUUAGGGAAGAACAAAUGUGUAAGUAACUAUGCACGUCUUGACGGUACCGAAUCAGAAAGCCACGGCUAACUACGU
rnacentral:rRNA from 1 species